UAUCUUUGCGCCCUGAUAGAGCACCUAUCAAUACAUAAAAAUCAUUAAAAAAAUAUUGGCAUG
rfam:Imtechella halotolerans K1 Contig4, whole genome shotgun sequence.